rnacentral:misc_RNA from 1 species
UUGGAGAAGGAUAUAGUUUUUGAUAGUGAUAAUGAAACUCAUUAUUCAGGUUCCAAUAUAAGGUCUGGAAAGGUCAAAGGAGAGGUCCAAGCAGCUGAGAAAAAAUACCGUCAAUCAUUCAAGCUGUUCUAAACAGAGAGAAGGGACCUGUUUCUGUCAGGAACAAAGCGGUGCGUGGAUACUGAGAAGCAUGAGCAUAUUAAGUUUGCUUGCGAGUUUAGCUGAUUAAAUGGCCUUUUUUAUUCUCCCGGUUUUCCUUAUGUAAACUUUUUUUUUGGUAUUCUUUUGUCAGUGUUGAAAAUUUUUUAAAGUUAAAAAGACAAAUGCAACUAAUAAAGUGUGUUUGAGUUUGUACCUCAAAAUUUGAAGAGGAUUCUCAACAAAUAGAAAUGAAG